rnacentral:rRNA from 1 species
CCUCAGAUUGAACGCUGGCGGAAUGCUUUACACAUGCAAGUCGAACGGCAGCACGGACUUCGGUCUGGUGGCGAGUGGCGAACGGGUGAGUAAUACAUCGGAACGUGCCCAGUCGUGGGGGAUAACGUAGCGAAAGUUACGCUAAUACCGCAUACGAUCUAAGGAUGAAAGCGGGGGAUCGCAAGACCUCGCGCGACUGGAGCGGCCGAUGGCAGAUUAGGUAGUUGGUAGGGUAAAGGCCUACCAAGCCGACGAUCUGUAGCUGGUCUGAGAGGAUGAUCAGCCACACUGGGACUGAGACACGGCCCAGACUCCUACGGGAGGCAGCAGUGGGGAAUUUUGGACAAUGGGCGCAAGCCUGAUCCAGCCAUUCCGCGUGCAGGACGAAGGCCUUCGGGUUGUAAACUGCUUUUGUACAGAACGAAAAGCCUUGGGUUAAUACCCUGGGGUCAUGACGGUACUGUAAGAAUAAGCACCGGCUAACUACGUG